UAAUUGUGAGAUUUGUAUAGGGUUUAUAGCUUGUUCUUUCUAGUAAUAUUUGAGCUAUUUUAAUGUUUCACAUUACUCUGUUUUUUGUGUUGUUUGUGUAACAAGGAAAAUCGUCUCUUGGUGUCGUACCACCAACAAGAUCAUAGAGUCUUCACCAAGACUUGGAGGUCUUGAGUUUAGAGCAUUCUCUUGGCUGGGGCUGGAUCGUAGGAAAGAUUUUCCUAGGCGAUUGGGUAAGGUCAAACCAAGAUAGAGGUUCUGGGAACUCAAGAAGGUAGCGUUCAAGGUCUUGUAAUUGGAAGUGUGUAUGUAAGACACAUUGGUUUCAAUUUUAGUGAAGAAAAUCUCUCGGAUCAGAUGGGGAGGACUGGAUGUAGUUUUGCAGUGGACCACGAAACGAACAAGUAUAAAAACAUUGUUGCAGGCUGUUUCUUUCCCUUGUCUAUUUACUGUUUUUAGUAGUUUUCAAUUGCCUAUUGUAGGUGAUAUUUUGAAUAUAGUAUUACUACAAAUAAAGAUCAUUUGUGUUCAAAUAUAACUGCGAUAUCAUUUCUGUAUAAUCUGUAAUUGGCUGUGUAAUUGAGCCAGACAGCAACUGCUAAUUCUGUGCGACUUAAUCGAUUAAGUCAUAGCUUUAAUCGAUUAACUGAGUAAUUUUCCAGAAUAAGACUUUGAUGCAAAUAACGGUAAGUGGGAAUCACGACACCUAUUCAACCCCCUUCUUGGUGUAUUCUGUCACUGAUACCUAACAAGCAUUAGUUUUGGGCAAGUAAAAAAUAGAUGUUCUACAGUUUCAGGGUCUCCACAGAAGAUGCACCUUCCAUCUGUUUCUAUACCAAACUUUUGAAGUCUAUCUUUGGUAGGUAGUCUAACAUGACAGGCCAACCAUAGGGUGAAAUGUGCUCUGGGUCUUGCGGUGUUACCAUAGAAAAUUCGUUUCCAGCACAUAGCUCGGGUCCUCUAAGUUCCAAGUACGUCGUCCUAGUCUUGAAUCUGCCACUAUUGCACGCAUCCAACCAACUUGUGGUUUGCAUAAUCUCAAGUUUGUAUUUGAAUGUGUGUCUAAAUAGCCAGGAGUAGUUGUGGCUUUGAUGGUAUUCACUAACAUCAUCACCUUUUAAAUGAUAUGUAUGAAUCCACUUGACCCAAAGCUGGCCAGGUUCCAAAGCAACUUUGCCCUGUUUGCCAUGUUCCACUCCCCAAGGGAAAUGAGGUUUAUCCCAUCAGCUUGCUUAGGGUCACAUAAAUGAUCCAAAGCUACAUGGGCCUUCUUGUAGUCCUCAGCUUUUCUAAACCAGAGGAAAGUUCUGCAUUUGGCUUCUAAGUGGUGCAGAAUCUUUUUUGGCAAGGAGAACACCGGCAUCCAGUAGUUGGUAAUGGAGAACAGAACACUCUUGAUGAGUUGGGUUCUGCCUGCAUAACUCAGAAGCUUGGUGCUCUAGUGAUUCAACCUAAUAGUGAUUUUUUCAAUCGGUGGAGCAUAGAGAUUAACAUUGAGUUUCCUACUAACGAGAGGUACACCAAGAUAUUUAAAAGGCAAGGAACCUAUACUGAAACCUGCGGCUUUUGUGAUGCUUUGUUGUAGAGUUUGGUUCACUCCCCCAAAAUAAACUUUACAUUUUUGAUGGCUAGCUUUGAGACUAGUGCUUUUAGAAAAUUCUGGGAAUUUCUUCAUGAGAAGUUCAACAGAAAGUUGGUCCCCUCUACUGAAAAGAAGAAGGUCACCAGCAAAGCACAAAUUUGUGAUGUUUAAUUUCUCACAUUUUGGGUGGAAAUUGAAGUUGUGGUCCUCUUUCAGUUCUUGGAAGAUUAUGUGUAAGUAUUUCAUGAUUAGGACGAAGAGUAUGGGUGAUAAGGGUCACAUUGUCUUAAACCCCUUUUAACUUGUAAAACAGUAGAUGGAUUGCCAUUAAUUGAGUAUCUAUAUGACACUGUCCUGACACAAAUCAUGGUCCAUCUAAUAAAUUGUUGAGGGAACCCAAUUUCAAGCAUAAUGUGUUCAAGGGCAUCCCACUCCACUAUGUCAUAAGCUUUCUGGAUAUCCAUUUGGACCAUGCAUCUUGGAGAGAUACCUUUUCUGCUAUAACCCCUCACCAAUUCUUGAGCCAAAAUGAUAUUAUUAUGGAUGACUUUCUCAAGCACAAAAGUAGAUUGACUAGUAUCCACCACUUGAUCAAUACCUCUGCUUAAUCUUUUAGUGAGAAUUUUGUAUAUUAUUUUAUAAAUUGUUGUGCAGCAUGAAAUAGGUCUCAUAUCCUUCAUUGUACAUGCUUCAUUGGUCUUUGGAAGCAUAGAGACUAGGAUAAAAUUCAUAGCAGGGUAGAGGAUAUCAUUAGUGAAGAAAUGCUCACUUAAGAAAAAUCAUAAUAAAUAUGUGAGUAAAUUACACCCAAGCUUAUUGAAAUUUAAUUUAAUUAUAUUUAUUAUCUUAGAUUUAAAAUAUUUAUCUCAUUUCUCUUAUAGGAAUACUGGGGUGUAUAUGGAGCAUAUAUAUAAAUUAUGGAUGAUUUUUAUAUGUAUAGAAAGAAGUAGUUUGUAUAAUUUCCCAAAACUUUUAUGGUGUAUCAAUAGAUAAUGAUUUUAGCCUUCUUUUGUACUUACUAUUGAUUAAAGCUUUACAUAUUUUUUUUUAAAUUGUCUUAACAUAAUGUAUUUAUAUUGCCAAUUUUAUGAUAGUGUCUCCAGAUUAAUUGGAGUCCUUAUUUUUUUGGACACCAGUAGAUUUAAAUACAAAAAUAAUAUAUACUCUUGUUGUUCUCUAUUAUAUUUAUAUAAUUGGGAUAGAGAAAUGUUUCUAUUCUUUUUCAUUUAUAACUUUAAUAAAAUAUCAAUACAUAAUUUUCUAAUUAUGCUCUUAAUGUUAACAGCUAUUUUUAUACUACGUUCAUUUCUAUUUAACAGUCUUAUAAUAUUGUAGCUCACAAUUCACAAAUAUGAUUAAUAUGUAUAUUUGUAUUAAAUUUAUGUCAUUUUUAUUAAUGUUUUGUCAUUUUGUCUCUCUAUAAUAAUUAUAUUAUUCAUUUCUCCUUAUUAUCUUUAAUUAAUUAGAUACUGUAAGGUUAUAAAAAUUAUUAAUGUUGAUUUUAUUUUCUAAAAAAAAUAAGUACAUAAUUGUUUUUGAAAAAGACAAUUGCAAAGGAACAAAAGUAGAAGUGGUAAAGGAAAUAGUAAAGGGAGAUAAAUGAUAUAAAAAUGAAAAAAAAAAUAUUUUCCAAAUAACUAUUAAAUUAUAUAUUGAUCCAUGUAUUUAUGUCCUAAAAUAUAAGUGAAAAUAGGUUAGUCAACCCAUUAGAAACCCAUGGUUUGGUCUAUUAAAAAAUGACUAUAUAUAUAUAUAUGUUUGAUAAGAGUAAUUGAAGAAUCUCUUUGUGAAUUAGCAACUCUCUCACACUCCAACAACAUAAUUUAUUGGUACAUGAUAACUUUUCAUUCAUUUUGUCCCCUCCUUUAUGUAUUCUCACACUAUAUAUUUCAUUUCUUUAUUAUAAUAAUAUAAUAAUAUUAAAUCUACUAUUCCAUUUUUUGAUAAUUUCAAAACAACAUUUUUUUCAUUAAGCUUUUACCUAUGAUGAUUGCACUGUAUAUUUACUUUCCUAUAAUAUAAUAAUAUUAAAAAUAUUAUCGCAUUCUUAAUAAUUUCAAAACAAAAAACAUAUACUACUCUAAGAAUUGAAAGUACAAAGUGUCAAGAAUAACACUAGCCUAUCUUAACCUAUGUUUUGAUGAAGACAAAUUUCUAACAAAGCUUGAAGUUGGCUCAACAAUCAACAUGUCUUAUGCUCAUUUGGUCAUCUCUAGACUAUGAGAUAAAUUGAUUCUAUAACCUAAGUAGUCUGGGAUGUGUGCCGUAGUUAGUAAGUGAGUAUAGGUUAGGUGAACCUAGAUGCUAGUCUCUUAAGCCAUCAUAAUUGAACUACCAUAUUCAUGAGAUGCAUCAUCUAGUUAAUCGUAUGUUCGUGCAUAUAUAAUACAUGUUAUUUGUGCAUAUUAGACAUAAUAUAAAUAGUGAAACAUGUACAUAUAUUGCACAUAACAUAUGAGAAGUUUGCCUUGUGAGAAUUCGAAAAUAAUGGAUCAUCUUCAUCAAUAUCUUCAUAUUCUUGGUCAUCAAUAUUAUUGACGAUUAUUUUGUUAGUUAAAAGAACAAUGGACCAUUUUAUAUCAGUUGUAUCACUAACAUAGAAUACUUGUUGAGCUUGUGAUGCUAGAAUAAAUUACUCAUCUUUAUAUCUUGACAUAUUAAGAUCCACUUGCAUGAACUCUAACUCAUCAACUCGGAAGCCAUUAUUGUUAUCAACCCACAUACAAUAAAAAAUCGGUAUCCUAAACAUUGUAUAAUCCAAUUCUCAUAUGCGCUCAAUCACUCCAAAGUAUGACAUGUUCACAUAUAUUGGGUUUCUAUCUUUUGCACUUGACAUGUGUAAAGUUCGAGCAACAAGAGUCACACUACUAUUUUAUCUUUUACUUUGAUCAUCUUGUUUUUCAUAUAAAAUGUGAACCCAUCAAUUAGGUAACUAGUGUAGGAUAAGACAUGAAAGCUGUAACACCGCGAAUUUUACGAUUUGGAAUUAUAAGAUUUUAUUAAUAUUUUUAUUAAUUAUAUAUUAGAAAAUGAAUUUCUAGGAAUUUUAGGUAAAGAAUUAGACGAAACUCUAGUGGAGUUUUAGUCUUGUAAUUUUAUUUCCUAUUUUGUGGUAAAUUUUGGUAGUUUUCGGAGACAAUCGAUUCUGAACCACUGUCGGGGCUGAAAUCCACCCUGUACGGCUCAAAAAGUGGGUUUUGAGUUCCGUAACUCGGAAUCGAAUUCCGAUCGCACUGUUGACUUCGUAAUUUCAUUUUGAGUCAAUAUAGACCCUGAAUAUACCUAUACCUAUUUUCUAAAUAUUUUUCACNNNNNNNNNNNNNNNNNNNNNNNNNNNNNNNNNNNNNNNNNNNNNNNNNNNNNNNNNNNNNNNNNNNNNNNNNNNNNNNNNNNNNNNNNNNNNNNNNNNNGGUGUCCGAAUAUGACACCCGAAUCUCCUAAACCAUCUCAAAGGUUUUUGAGUUAACUUGGGUUUUUAAGAAACCUAAUAUUUUUAUGUUUGGAUGUAAUAUUUUGAAUAUAUAUGAUUGUUGAUGAAAUGUGUUGAAUAUUGUACAUGAAUGUUGUUAAGAACUUUUCUGUGUGCAGGUGUUUGAAAAACCAUGUUUAAAUGUGUUUCGGUUGUCGAAAAGGGCAAAAGUUGGCAUUCCGUCCAAGUCCCUGUCGCUUGGGCGAGAAACUCUCGCCUGGGCGAGCACAGUCUCGCUUGGGCGAGGACUGGGCGAGGGGAAGUUUUGGGUUCUGGAACUCCUCACCCGGGCGACCAAUCCUCGCUUGGGCGAGCAAAUCUCGCCUAGGCGAGCAAGGGUCCCGCUUAGGCGAAAAAUACCCAGGAUUUUGAAGAAAAUUGAGAAUUUUCUCGCUUGGGCGAGUAAAAGUUUCGCUUCGGCGAAAAGAAAAAAAAAUUCCAGGAUUUUAAUGAUGUCUCGCUUGAGCGAGAAGGAGCCUCGCUUGGGCGAGGAAAGCUUAAGUUUAAUUGAGAUUUAAAGAUGAAUUGUCGCUUGGAUGAGAGGGCCUCGCUUGAGCGAGAGAUGCCCAGUUUUAAAAUGGUAUUGUUGAUUGAAUUUUCGCUUGAGCGAAGGGUCCUCGCUUGGGCGAGAGACAGUGAUUGUGUUUGACUAUUUGGAUUGAUUGGUUGAGUAUGUAAUAACCCUAGUAUGGGUAUGUGAUAUAACCUACUUUGGUAUAACGCCGUAAUUUUGGAAUUAAAUAGUCAAACUCGGAAAUUAAUUUUAAAGAAAGUAAUCCGAGAAUGAUGUAUGAUUUAGGGCGAUGCCCAGAAAAGGAUACGUGAUACCACGGAGUGAGAUCGUCUGACCGUAAGUGGCUUGGUCGGGGACUGUCCAAGGUGAUUCAGCGAUAGUCGUAGUGGUAGGGACGUUACCCUUUGAGUUAUGAUGUGAAUUAGGGCACUGCCCAGAAAGGAACCCAGGAUACCACGGAGCGAGAUCGGCUGAUCGUAAGAGGCUUGGUGUGGGACCGUCCAAGGUAUUCAGAUGGUCUUAGUGGUGGGAUGUAUUUCCUUUAUAUUACGUGUUAACGUAAGAUCGGGACCCACAAGAAGCAUUCCUGAGGGAGAUGACUUAAGGUGGGUCGAGCAUGGUAAAUAAUGAUUAAAAGAUUUAAUCAUCUAACUGCGGUUAGUGUUCAUAUGCAUAUGGUUAAUAAUGGAGUAGUGGAGAGGAAAUUGACGGUAUGACUUAGAGCACCGUGAAGUAAGCAGGGAUGGCACUGAUUGGAUGGUGAUUCGCCAACAAUGUCUUGAGGGAGAGUCUGGGUGAGACGAGUCCCUUGUAUUCCUGGGGAGGUACCCUGUUGGAUCGGACAGUUCUCACAUGACAAACUAGACAAUCUCUAACAACCCCUAGAUUGCAUUCGAGAUCAAUGAGAGGGAUGCCCAGAAAGCGUUUGUACGACCUAGGUCCGGGUAGGACUGUUCUUGAGGGAAUCGAUCGAUCUAUUUUUAAUUCCUUGCGAGGAUAUGUUAUUUCGAGUGCGUACAAAGUGGUUUGGUAUGGGACUUGUACUCUUUAUUUUUUUCCGACUAGGUUAUUGAGGGGAUAUUGGUGUGAGGUGGAUGAUCAUGACAUAGCAUGCAUAUAUUGCACUUGUGGAAGUGGAUUCUCACAUUUGAGUUACAAACAUCGUGCAUCAUCAACAUUAUGCACAUAUUAUUACUAUGGUUAUAAUAUUCGUUUAUGAAAUGUAUGUUGAUAUAUUAUUGUUUAUAUUGAUAAAUGGUGGGUUAUAAUGUCGGUGAUAGAUAAUAUAUGUGNNNNNNNNNNNNNNNNNNNNNNNNNNNNNNNNNNNNNNNNNNNNNNNNNNNNNNNNNNNNNNNNNNNNNNNNNNNNNNNNNNNNNNNNNNNNNNNNNNNNUAUUAUACGACUAUCCGCACUUAUGUGUUAUUUAAUUAUAGUCAUGACAUCUUGUCGAUGAAUGAUAUAUUGAUAAAUGGUGAAUUAUGAUAUUGAUGGGAAUAAGUGUUGUUUACAUUACAUAGGUUGAUUAGAUAAUUGUUUAUAAGAACAAUUGAUGAGUUUGGUUAUAUUACUCAUGUAAAUUGAAUAAUUGUUUACGAGAACAACUAAUGAGUUAUAAUGUAAUAUGUUAUAUAUAUAUUGUGAACUGUUUUUCAUAUCUGAGUGUAAUAUUCUGAGUAAGUCCACGCCGUCAAUGAAUUUAUGUUCAUUAGAUGUCUUACUCUCUCUAUUUAUCUUCUUUUUCUAUUGCUUGCUUUUCGGACGUGUUCUCGUCAGAUAGUCAGCUUGCUCGGAUUUGGAGCUACCCGUCUGUGAUGUUCUAGGAGG
rnacentral:lncRNA from 1 species